CUCACCCAAACCCAGAUCGUGUCGGAUUGCUGUAAAGUGCUGGCCAUCUCUGUACCAUCAUCUGCCUUGGGACACAAGGAGAGUUGCCCUUCUCCAUCACUUCAGUAUGCAUCUAUAUGCAUGUCUCAGCAUUUGGAUUGAUGGUCACCUCAUCUGUUAGUUGAGGAAGGAGGAGGAGCUGUAGAGUAAUUCACAUGUCAUUGUUGAACGUGUAAAAUAUAUGUUUCCUGCUUAAACGCAGAGCACUUACAGAAGUCAAAGGAUUUUAAUAACAAUAUGUAAGCUAUUCCAGUGCUCAGUUGGUGAAAGGAAAGUUGAGCUGAAAUUCUCAAUUGAAUAGACAAUCAACUCGACUGUGGUGUGUCAACAAAUUAGUGCAAGUGAAGAAAGGUUUUUGCUUGCCAGAGAGUAAGACCUUUCCAGUUGGAACGACGACCAACAAUCAUGAUAUUAGCAAAAAUGAGAUUCCUGCAUAUGCUACUCUGGAACUGCUUUGCAUAAUUGAGGAAGUCACCACAGUUCGAAUUAAAGAGUGCCUUCCUCGGCUUGUGAUGUAUAAUUCGAGCAUUAACCCAUGCUCCAAUCUUUUCAAGGAAAAGAGGAAUAACCAAAGAUUCCUAUAUCUUGUCAUGGAUUUCAGAACUUGUUAUAUCUCAUUGGUUUCAAGUUGAUGGGUAAAACUACAUUUGAUAGCAAAUAUUGAGAAUUUUUUCAGUAUUUAGAUCACUGAGUUCCCAACUACACCGCAUUCAAAAGGUAAUACUCAAUGGAUCUUAUCACUUUUUCGUUUUGGCUAUCGUUACUAGUUCUUGGAUGGCUCGAGCAGGCGAUCCAGAUAUCUUGACCGACUUCAUUUUUCCUGAAAAUCAAACUGGAGAUACAAUAGAUGGGAAUUUCUUCACCUUCACAGGCAUGCGCAAAUUUCUGGUAGUGUUAUUACAAGCUUUAAGUCGACAAAAGCUAGCAAAGCGGAAUUUCCAGCUUUGGAUGGACAGUGUACUUCACUUGCUGCCCUUCAGUUCCCUGGCGAGGGUGUCAAUCCACCUCACACUCACCCUCGUGCAUCCGAGCUAUGAUUAGUAGUGCAGGGCAGUCUAGAAUAUGGUGUUAGUUUAGAUAGUAGUAACAAGCUCUAUACUUAGACUCUACAAAUUUGUGUUUCCUAAAGGACUAGUGCAUUAUCAGAUUGGAAUAAAUCAGCUACAGUUGUUUCUGCAUUUGGUAGCGCGAAAGCAGGAAUUGUUUCACUUCCAACGACUCUGUUUGCUACAGGUAUCGAUGAUCAGAUUCUCGCGAAGUCAUUCAAGACUGAUCAUAUCUGAACCAUUGUAGCAUGUG